rnacentral:rRNA from 1 species
ACGAACGCUGGCGGCGUGCUUAACACAUGCAAGUCGAACGGAAAGGCCCUGCUUGCAGGGUACUCGAGUGGCGAACGGGUGAGUAACACGUGGGUGAUCUGCCCUGCACUUCGGGAUAAGCUUGGGAAACUGGGUCUAGUACCGGAUAGGAACCAUCUUUAGUGUGGUGGUUGGAAAGUUUUUUCGGUGUAGGAUGAGCUCGCGGCCUAUCAGCUUGUUGGUGGGGUAAUGGCCUACCAAGGCGGCGACGGGUAGCCGGCCUGAGAGGGUGUACGGCCACAUUGGGACUGAGAUACGGCCCAGACUCCUACGGGAGGCAGCAGUGGGGAAUAUUGCACAAUGGGCGCAAGCCUGAUGCAGCGACGCCGCGUGGGGGAUGAAGGCCUUCGGGUUGUAAACUCCUUUCGCUAGGGACGAAGCUUUGUUGUGACGGUACCUAGAUAAGAAGCACCGGCUAACUACGUG